rnacentral:rRNA from 1 species
GACGAACGCUGGCGGCGUGCCUAAUACAUGCAAGUCGAACGCUGAAGGAGGAUCUUGCUUCUCUGGAUGAGUUGCGAACGGGUGAGUAACGCGUAGGUAACCUGCCUGGUAGCGGGGGAUAACUAUUGGAAACGAUAGCUAAUACCGCAUAACAGUAGAUAUCGCAUGAUAUCUACUUGAAAGGUGCAAUUGCAUCACUACCAGAUGGACCUGCGUUGUAUUAGCUAGUUGGUGAGGUAACGGCUCACCAAGGCGACGAUACAUAGCCGACCUGAGAGGGUGAUCGGCCACACUGGGACUGAGACACGGCCCAGACUCCUACGGGAGGCAGCAGUAGGGAAUCUUCGGCAAUGGACGGAAGUCUGACCGAGCAACGCCGCGUGAGUGAAGAAGGUUUUCGGAUCGUAAAGCUCGGUUGUAAGAGAAGAACGAGUGUGAGAGUGGAAAGUUCACACUGUGACGGUAUCUUACCAGAAAGGGACGGCUAACUACGUG